rnacentral:lncRNA from 1 species
UUUUCAGUUUACUCUUUCCGAGCUGUACUAACCGACCUGCGAGCUCACUUUCGGUUUACUUUAUCCAAGCGAGACUAACCGACCUGCGAGCUCUGUCUUUAAUCAAUGGGUCGAGCUCUGAGUUCCACUAGCCAACUGAGCUUUCGGUUUACUUUUUCCGAGCUGGGCUAACUGACUUGUGAGCCCUGCUUUUAAUCAAUGAGUUGAGCUUCUGACCCAUAACUUUGUAUGAUUCCGCGGCGUCCUUAUCGCUUCGUUCUGGGCUCGUAGCCUCUGUUUAAUGAUGAUGAGUCAAAUCCUGUACCUUUUUAAGUGAUAAGCAAGUCCGACCUUUAUCAUGCUUCCCCCUGUUUGUCUCCUUGGAUCUUUCUAUGACUUGCUCUUUUUCCUUAGUUUUUGCUGCCUGAGUGGCGAUGAUGUGCAUUUUGCAUGUCAGGUCGUCCUGAGCGAGAGAUUCAAUUGGAGCUCGGUCUCAAGGUUUUGACAAUUUGGGUUUGUUUUAUGUAGAUAGCGUGUGGGCCUUCGGCUGAUGGGCUAUUGCCGUGGGCCUGGCCCUUUGUAGGGGUGGAGAAGCCCAGCGGUCAUCUCUUUGCCCCUUUACCUUCUCGCCGGUUAUUAUCUAACCGUUGAGAGGGUAAACUUCGAGAGUAAUUAGUGAUCGCGCCGCUCCAAGACAAAACUGCUCAGAACAACGUUUCAUCUCAUUAUUG